AUCCAUCAACAGGCUCAUUUCUCUCAGCUUCUGUUCCUGAUCUCAGCUGUGAGGUUUGAGGUCCAUCAGUCAGCCUCACAGAGUCCGACAGCCAGAUGGAUUGAAACAUUUGUAGAGUACAGUCCAGUAUAGAGGAGAUUGCAGCCCAUCCUCGUCGUCAGGGAUACGGCAGACCUCUCGCUCUCCCCACGAAUACAUCUGUCAGCGAAUCAUCUGAACUUUAGAUCCACUGGAUCCUUGAGCGACACAGAAGAGCUGCAGAUACGGUACAGUACUGUAUGGGCAUCAUACCGUAAAACUGCAAGAAAAACACAAAGACAAGCAGCAGGUCAUCUUCAGAUUGUGUUCCUGAUUGAAGAUAUAAUAAUACUGCUGUCAAGGUUCUCUGAACAACUAAACAAUACAGAGACGAUCUAUAAUUAAAUUAUACAUGAAAGUCUGAUACACCCUACAGUUCAAUAAAACAGCUUUAAAUCUUGAAGAUGUGUACAUUUAAAAAAAAUAAACCGUGUUAAAAUAGCAACUGUGUAUGAGAAGAAACAUAUGAGAAACCUUCAGCACUGAGAUGAUUUCUAAUAGAAAGUGAGACAGACAGACAGACAGACAGAUUAUCCAGUGGAGAUGAAUGAGGAGUGUCCGGUUGAAAGCACACAGCACAUUACAGCAAUGGUCCGUGUUAUAUUCACCCAUCAAACCCUGCUUAUAAGAGCAUGAGAAACUAUCAUUUAUCUCAGAUGAGGUGAAAGUUCAAGAGCUUUUCACAGACAGAAAUCACAGUCCAGCAGACACAGAGAAA